rnacentral:rRNA from 1 species
UACGUAGGUGGCAAGCGUUGUCCGGAUUCACUGGGUGUAAAGGGUGCGCAGGCGGAUUUGUAAGUCAGACGUGAAAUCCCUCGGCUUAACCGGGGAACUGCAUCUGAUACUGGAUGGCUUGAGAUUGGGAGAGGGAUGCGGAAUUCCAGGUGUAGCGGUGAAAUGCGUAGAUAUCUGGAGGAACACCGGUGGCGAAGGCGGCAUCCUGGACCAACACUGACGCUGAGGAGCGAAAGCCAGGGGAGCAAACGGG